UACGGAGGGUGCAAGCGUUAUCCGGAUUCACUGGGUUUAAAGGGUGCGUAGGCGGGCAUGUAAGUCCGUGGUGAAAUCUCCGAGCUUAACUCGGAAACUGCCAUGGAUACUAUGUGUCUUGAAUGUUGUGGAGGUGAGCGGAAUAUGUCAUGCAGCGGUGAAAUGCUUAGAUAUGACAUAGAACACCAAUUGCGAAGGCAGCUCACUACACAAAUAUUGACGCUGAGGCACGAAAGCGUGGGGAUCAAACAGG
rnacentral:rRNA from 1 species